AGAUUGAACGCUGGCGGCAGGCCUAACACAUGCAAGUCGAGCGGUAGAGAGGUGCUUGCACCUCUUGAGAGCGGCGGACGGGUGAGUAAAGCCUAGGAAUCUGCCUGGUAGUGGGGGAUAACGCUCGGAAACGGACGCUAAUACCGCAUACGUCCUACGGGAGAAAGCAGGGGACCUUCGGGCCUUGCGCUAUCAGAUGAGCCUAGGUCGGAUUAGCUAGUUGGUGAGGUAAUGGCUCACCAAGGCGACGAUCCGUAACUGGUCUGAGAGGAUGAUCAGUCACACUGGAACUGAGACACGGUCCAGACUCCGUACGGGAGGCAGCAGGUGGGGAAUAGUUGGACAAGUAGGGCGAAAGCCUAGACUCCAGCCAUGCCGCGGUGUGUAGGAAGAAGGUCGUUACGGAAUUAGGUAAAGCUAACGUUUAAGGUGGAAGG
rnacentral:rRNA from 1 species